GACGAACGCUGGCGGCGUGCUUAACACAUGCAAGUCGAACGGAAAGGCCCUGCUUUUGUGGGGUGCUCGAGUGGCGAACGGGUGAGUAACACGUGAGUAACCUGCCCUUGACUUUGGGAUAACUUCAGGAAACUGGGGCUAAUACCGGAUAGGAGCUCCUGCUGCAUGGUGGGGGUUGGAAAGUUUCGGCGGUUGGGGAUGGACUCGCGGCUUAUCAGCUUGUUGGUGGGGUAGUGGCUUACCAAGGCUUUGACGGGUAGCCGGCCUGAGAGGGUGACCGGCCACAUUGGAACUGAGAUACGGCCCAGACUCCUACGGGAGGCAGCAGUGGGGAAUAUUGCACAAUGGGCGGAAGCCUGAUGCAGCAACGCCGCGUGCGGGAUGACGGCCUUCGGGUUGUAAACUGCUUUCGCCUGUGACGAAGCGUGAGUGACGGUAAUGGGUAAAGAAGCACCGGCUAACUACGUG
rnacentral:rRNA from 1 species